GUCGUAACAAGGUCUCCGUUGGUGAACCAGCGGAGGGAUCAUUAUCGAGUUAUUCAACUCCCAAACCCUAUGUGAACUUACCACUUGUUGCUUCGGCGCGCGCUUCGGCGCCGCCGAGGACACUUAAACUCUUUGUUUUUAUAAGCAUUUCUGAGUGGCCGAAAGGCAAAAAUACAAAUGAAUCAAAACUUUCAACAACGGAUCUCUUGGUUCUGGCAUCGAUGAAGAACGCAGCGAAAUGCGAUAAGUAAUGUGAAUUGCAGAAUUCAGUGAAUCAUCGAAUCUUUGAACGCACAUUGCGCCCGCCAGCAUUCUGGCGGGCAUGCCUGUUCGAGCGUCAUUUCAACCCUCGAGCCCGACUCUUUUGAGGACGGCUCGGCGUUGGGGGACGGCAGACUCCCCCCGGCAUCUCGCCGGGGACGCCGCCCCCGAAAUCUAGUGGCGGCCCUCCGAGGCGACCUCUGCGUAGUAACUUGUUCUCGCACCGGAAAGCUCAGAGCGGCCACGCCGUAAAACCCCAACUUUUUUCAGGUUGACCUCGAAUCAGGUAGGACUACCCGCUGAACUUAAGCAUAUCAAUAGUCG
rnacentral:rRNA from 1 species